UAUUUAUAUAGCGCCUAUACAUUGCUGUCCUAAGCGCUUUACAAUGUCAUAUUACAUUUACAAAAUUAUUAUCUAUAUUUACAGUCGAUUUUGUUAUAAAAUAAAUGUUAAAAAACAACUAAUGAGUUACAAAGAAUGAUAAUUAAAACCUAAAAGUAAUUACAAAUCGUAAGUUUGUUUAAAAAGAUGUGUUUUCAAUUCAGAUUUAAAAAUGUUGAUGUUACUAAUCGAUCUAAUGUUCAUUGGGAGCAUGUUCCAAAUUCUCGGUGCUGCAACUGAAAAGGCCCUGUAGCCAUAUGUCUUUAAAUUAUAAUGUUCUGCAAAACGCCAUUUGUCUGAGGACGAUCGAAGACACCUUGCCGGCUGAUGGUGACAUAAAAGAUCUUGCAAAUAUGUCGGAGCCAUGUUGUUCAUUAUUUUAAAGCACAUCAAAUUGAUCUUAAAAAUGAUUCUUUGCUGUACUGGCAACCAGUGAAGCAUCCUGAGAGUUGGAGUAAUAUGAUCGUAUUUACGCAGACAAGCUAUAACUCGAGCUGCUGCAUUCUGAACAUUUUGCAGCUUAUUAAUUUCAUAUUUGGGGAGACCAUAGA